CCUCCAAAAAUUCACAUCUUCCUUUGGUUUUUACCUGUAUUGGCUGGCUAUCUAAAGCUACAUGCCUUUUUUCCUUUUUGUUUUCUUACUGUAUGCACUGAACCUGAUUUCUUAUUAUAAGGAGAAGAGGCCUUGGGCCUCCUGUUGAUCGACAAAAAACAGAUGUUGUGUUAUUUGAGGGACACGAUCCGAACUGGCAACGAUACACAUGAAUUAAUUCGUGUGUACAUCAUCGGAAAAUCUAUUCGUGUGUACAUGAAUUACCGUGGGAAGUGCCUUUCGUGCACCCGGGU
rnacentral:lncRNA from 1 species